UUCCUGAGCCAGCUGCUGUCCUGCAUUGCCUCCUGCUCCACUUCCUUAAAACCAAAGGAUUGUGGAGGAAGACCUGUGGCUUUCAAAAGUGGAAAAAGAAGGGCUAACACUUAACAUGCAGAGUGGGUGGCAGUGGGAGCAGCUGACCCCUGGCGGUCUCCCUCUGGAUGGGCACUUCCUGCUCCAAACAAUGCAAGGAAGGGCUUGGACCCCACCCUGCCUGCUGUCUUCCCACUGAUUGAAGAGCAGAGGCACUGUCUGUCCCAGCUCCAAGACUGCUAGAGGAAGGAUGUGCCGCAAUCUCACCUUUCCUCAGCUAGGUGGACUCUGGCCCAGGAACAGGCAACAGAGGAUCUUCACAGACUAUUUGCUCAAUUCCCUACUGGGCUCUGACCCUGGAAGGGAAUGCAGGGGCACUUUGUUUUGUAUAUGUAUCUUUUCCUUUCUUGUACAUAAAUCCCAGACCUCUCAAC
rnacentral:lncRNA from 1 species